GUUUUUUGGAUUGUCUCUGGAAUUCUUAAUGUGGAGAACAGAGGAAGCCUUAAAAUGCCUGGAAGUGGUGCCUCUGACACAUCUACACUCUGCAAAGAGAAGAGAGCAGUUAGAAGAAGCCUUCUCCUCAUCAGGAUGUCCAUAUGGUUCCAAGUAGGAAGGAUUUCCACAUACAGCUCCAGAGAAACUCCCUCAGGUUAGUUUAAGAGGUAUGACUAUCACAGUACGAUAGACAGGUCUCUUACAGUCUCAGAAAGGAUGGUAAAGAAGAUACAGUUACCCAGGUUACCUAAAGAAGAUCCAGUUACCCAGGUA
rnacentral:lncRNA from 1 species